GUGCUUGCUUUGGCAGCAUAUAUACUAAAGCAGGAACAAUACAGAGAUUAGCGUGACCCUUGUACAAUACUGAUAGGCAAAUUAAUUCUUU
ensembl:snRNA U6 U6 spliceosomal RNA